UACGGGGGGGGCAAGCGUUGUUCGGAAUUACUGGGCGUAAAGGCUCGUAGGUGGCCAACUAAGUCAGACGUGAAAUCCCUCGGCUUAACCGGGGAACUGCGUCUGAUACUGGAUGGCUUGAGAUUGGGAGAGGGAUGCGGAAUUCCAGGUGUAGCGGUGAAAUGCGUAGAUAUCUGGAGGAACACCGGUGGCGAAGGCGGCAUCCUGGACCAACACUGACACUGAGGAGCGAAAGCCAGGGGAGCAAACGGG
rnacentral:rRNA from 1 species